rnacentral:rRNA from 1 species
CAUUGCUAUUGGGAUUCGAUUUAGCCAUGCUAGUCGAACGAGUUCAGACUCGUGGCGAAUAGCUCAGUAACACGUGGCCAAGCUCCCCUUCAGUCAGCGAUACCCUCGGGAAACUGAGGUUAACAGCUGAUACAAAACGCCAGCUGGAAUGCGGCGUUUCAGAAAGACAUCGCUGAAGGAUGCGGCUGCGGCCGAUUAGGUUGACGGUGGGGUAACGGCCCACCGUGCCAGUAAUCGGUACGGGUGAUGAGAGUCAGAGCCCGGAGACGGAAUCUGAGACAAGAUUCCGGGCCCUACGGGGCGCAGCAGGCGCGAAACCUUUACACUGCACGAAAGUGCGAUAGGGGAAUCCCAAGUGCGAGGGCAUAUUAGCCCUCGCUUUUCUCGACUGUAAGGUGGUCGACGAAUAAGAGCUGGGCAAGACCGGUGCCAGCCGCCGCGGUAAUACCGGCAGCUCAAGUGAUGUCCCAUAUUAUUGGGCCUAAAGCGUCCGUAGCU